UCUUCACCAGGUCUGAACAGUCCG
rnacentral:siRNA from 1 species